rnacentral:rRNA from 1 species
UACGGGGGGAGCAAGCGUUGUUCGGAUUUACUGGGCGUAAAGGGCGCGUAGGCGGCCAGCACAAGUCAGUUGUGAAAUCUCCGAGCUUAACUCGGAACGGUCAACUGAUACUGUGCGGCUAGAGUGCGGAAGGGGCAACUGGAAUUCUUGGUGUAGCGGUGAAAUGCGUAGAUAUCAAGAGGAACACCUGCGGCGAAGGCGGGGUUGCUGGGCCGAACACUGACG